UAAUACAUAUUGUUUUGAUAACUCAUUUUGUGCUUAUGGAGUAUAUGCAAGAUUUAGAAGCAUUUUAAGGUGUCUUUUUGGUCAAGCAUCAUUGAGUUUCUCUAUUAUACCAAACAUACAAGUCUCUGCCAAAGCUUGAUCACCUGUUUUUUUGAUGUGUUUACUGUUUACUGUUUACUGUUUGAUCCCUUUGAUUCUGCUGCUCUUGCUAUUUUUUGGGUGCUUCAGUUAUUGCUUUUCCUUUUGUUGCUGGCCCGUCAUCAAUUAGAGAUUUGCAUGGUUUGCUGUGCUGUCCUUCGCAUGUAUUUUUGGUCUGGUGUGGUUAGCUAUAUAGUUUGUUCUGAUUAUGCCUGAGUUAUUAUUAUGUUAACUAUGCUGCCCCUGUUCUCUUUCUAUUUUUAAAUUUGUGUGUUCAAUGAGUGAAGACACCUAGAUUGGCGUGCUUUAGUUUACAUGAUCAUGUCGUUGCUGAAAAUCUAUAUGAUAUAGUUGUGCUGCCUCUGUUGUUCAUGCAGGUUUCAAUUGUUUUUGGAUUUGAUUUUGUCAUGUCUCAUUUUAUUUCUCAAUUAGUCUUUCACAAAAAAAAAAAAAAAAAGGAGUGAUGCCUGAUGCUGUUCUCCUCUCUAGCGAGUUAUGAAUGUUGGGUACAGGAAUUUGGAUAUGCAAGAAAGAAGAGACUGGGUGGGUUAUCUGCUACUAUAUAAAUCACCCCACCUUAUUACAUUUUUGUAUCUUCAGCUUUUCUGCUUUAAUCUUGUUUCUCUGUUUGUCUUUUUUCACCGGAGACGGUUGUUUCUUUCGUCAUUGGAGGAUCUUAGAUUUUAAGGUAAACCUUUUUAUUUAUUUCCUUUUUGCACUCUUUUCCUUUUUUUUUUUUUUUUUUUUCUUCUUCUUCUUCAAAUGAGUACUCCUAUCUUGAAUUUGGGUCAAGACACUAUGGAGGACUCUUUUGACUUGGCUACCCCUCCUCAGAAGGUGUUAAUGGCAGGAGAAUGGACUUCUCGGCAACCUGGCGAGUAGCCGGAGGCCAUAACGCAAACUCCUGGAGAGGAAAGGCCGGCUGUAGCUAUCAUCUCUUCGAGUCAAUCUGGGGCCGGGGAUAAGGGUCCCUAACACAGUCGCAAAAGAAGACAAUCAAUAGAGGGGGAAGAGCACCAUCUUCCUUCUUACAUGCUCGCCCAUAGGCCGAAAGGGCACAUGAGGGCAGAUGACAUUCUUUUGCAUGGGAACUCUAUCAUGAUUUAUGAGGAGCAACACAAAACGGGUGUGCAAUUUCCUUAAGAUCUGUUCUUCGUUGAGGUCUUGUAGUACUAUAAUAUCUUUGUUUCCCAGCUCCACCCCAAUAGCUGGUGGGCGUUGGUUGUGUUCCUUAUUGCCAAGAGAAGAACCUGGUUGCUUCGGCGAAAGCAAGUUCUUUUCGCGUGAAAACGCAGACUUCUAUUACUUUACUGGUAAAGGCAGGUUCCCUUUGUUCGCUGGACUUCCGUCUUCUCUAAAGUGGUGAAAGGAUCGGUUUUUCGUGCCGACUCUGGAAGAAGGAAGAGAUGGAACGUUUCUUGUUACAUUGGACACUCAGGCCCAUUUGUUUGGUAGGCCCAUCUAAAGUAAGAAUGACUAUACCUACCGUCAAAGAGCUUUGAGAAGGGCUUACCCUCAUGUUUGGUGGGCUUGGGCGUCCAAUGCAACGAGAAACAUUCCCAUCCCUGUUCCUCUUCUGGAGUUAGUACGAAGAAUCGAUCCUUCCACCACUUUAGAGAAUACGGAAGUUCGGUGAACAAAGGGAACCCGCCUUUAAAGAUAAAGUAACUGAAGUUUGCGUUUUCACGCAAAAAGAACUUGUGAAAGUGCUGAAGCGCUUUCGUUGUAGCAACCAAGUUCUUAUCUCGGCAGAGAAUGAGGAACGCAAAAUGUCCGCCGGCUAUUGGGGCGGAGCUAAGACUGUAGGACCUUAACGAAGAACGGAUCCAACGGAAACUGGACACUCGCCUUGAGUUGCUCCUUAUAGAUCAUGAUAGAGUUCCUACGUGAAAGAAUUUCAUUCGCCCUCACGUGCCCUUUUAGCCUAUGAUCGAGCAUAUAAGAAGGAAGAUGGUGCUCCUCUAGAAUCCCUUCAUUGAUUGUCUUUCUUUUCAACUGUACUGGGGACCUUUAUCCCUAGCCCCAUAUUGGCCUGAAGGGUUGAUAGCUACGGCCCUCCCUCUCCAGCAACUUGCGCUACGGCCUCCAGCUGCUCAGCAGGCUGCCGAGAAGUUCCUUCUCCGGCCAUUAACACCUCCUGAGGAGGGAUAGCCAAGUCAAAAGAGACCUCCGUAGUGUCCUGACCCAGAUUUGGGGUAGGAGUACACAUUGGACGAAGGAGGAGGAGGAAAGGAGAGGAAAAUAGAAAUAAAUAAAAAGGUUUACCUUAAGAUCUGAAACCCUUUGGUGAUGAAAAAAACAACCUUUUCGGGCGAAAAAAGGCAAAACAGAAAAAUAAAAUUAAAGAAGAAAAGCUAAAGAUACAAAAAUGUAAUAAGGUGGGGUGUUUUAUAUAUAUAGUAGCAGAAACCAUAAAUGCAAAAACUCCUCGAAAUGCCAAACAUGGCGCUUGGAGCAUCGUGCUGACGUGAUUUAUACAUGGCUCUCCAAGCGGCAAGACAUUUCAAAACUUUUUAAAUUUCUCCUCUCAUUUGAUGACGCCUAAGCAACAAAUAAAGAAAUUGAUCAACACAAAAUAACAAAUAUCGCUGAGCCUAAAGACUCGGAUAUUCAUAGGGGAACUAAUGAUAUUACAAUAACUAAAAUAAUAAGGGCUAAGUAACAGAUAACCGAGCAACGGGUAACCCUGAUACCCGAACACUCUCGAAGAAGGAAGUUACUCGCCCAAUUAUGCUAGCGAUACUCGGAUCACUCUUGAAGAUAAGGAUCUCGAGGUAUCUGCCUUAAUUGGAAUCCAAUUCGUACAAGGAGUUGAUCAACAAAGCAGACUCCUAACUCUACUCAACUGCAGAACUCAUAAUUCUAAUAGGAGACGACAUCAAAGGCCUAUUUAAAGGCCAUCAAGUAUGCAUAGUAACCAGUUUUUACCCUCUCAUUCUAUUGUCUAGUUCUUACUACUGACUUAGGCAUUGGAGCGGUGGUUAUAUAAUCCAACCGGUGCUUUUCUUUCUUACAGAUCUAAUUCCUGUACCCAACAUCCAUAACCUGCUAGAGAGGAGAAAACAGCAUCACUGCCAUUGCAUGUUUUUAUGAAAUAAAUGACAUUGUAGAAAAAAGAUCAAGCUCCUAUUCUAUAUUUCUCUAACUAUAGAUCAGUUCAUUGUUGUGAUCAAGCAAAUACCAUUCUUUGAUAUACAAAUGAUGAAGUGACUGAAAACCGAAAACCCAUGUGCAAUUUCAAGAAUUCAAGUCCAUAUUUAAUGAGCGGAAGAGAUGAAAAGAAAAAAAGGUUGAUUGGUGUAGCGGUAGGCUGAAAAUAUAAGAACUCCUAAAAAUAGCAUGCAUUAGUUCCGCUACUUUUUGCCUUUAUAUAUCUUUAACUAGCUUAUUUGGAUCUUCCAAUUCUAUUAGAACCACAAGAGAUGAUAUUGGAUAGCUUCUUGAUCCCACUUCCAAAAGGAUCUCAUUGCCACACACGCAGUUCUAUAUGAAAACUCUACAUUAUUUAAGAUUAUGGAAAUUGUCCUUUGGUUUAUUAUUAUUAUUAUUAUUAUUAUUAUUAUUAUUAUUAUUAUUAUUAAUGUAGGACAAUGAGUGAAACAGUGGAGUUUAUUUGGAUUAGUCUUGCACCAAAUGGUGAACAUGGCUUACCAAACCUGGAUGAAUUGUGCCAGUGAAAUUUAUGCUAUGACAUGAAUUUUCUGAUGGUGUUUUUCAGAUGGUGUUUAUGGAAUUUCCACUAUUCUUUUGCCUUUUCUUCGAUUUUCUAUUUUUUGUAAAAUAAUGAAGACGGGUAAUGUUGCCACUAUUCAUUUACUUCUAGGUUUUUCAGUGAUUUGUUGAUGAGUUAGCUCCUUGACCCACAUUGUUUGUGUUUAUUGUUAUUGUAUUAGUUUCUAUUUUACUUGCUCUUUUGUUUACAUUGAAAUUGGUAUUUUGAUCAUCUGUUGAUAUUUCUUUCCAAGUACUGCAAUUUUUCUAUGUGACACCUUCCAUGUGUUUCCUGUUCACCUUUCCUCUCAAAUAGCGAGGUGUAAAAAGUGAGAAACUAAGGUGCCUUUGUCUUUGCAUUUGAUUCACCAAAUACAUUAUAUUUUCUGUUUUUAUUUGCAUGAAAUGACUAAAGUAUGUUGAUUAUGGAAUUACAGUCAUAUAUUAUGACUCAGUUUUUAUCCAUUAUUCAUUUUAUUUCCUAUGCAGUAGAAUUUUUAUAUGAUAAGAAGAGACAAGAACAGAAUAUUUUUUAGGGUUUUAAAGAUUGAUCGGUUAGAACCAUCUGAACUAUAUAGUCUUGAAGAUUCUACAACCUACUCAGAAAGUGAAUGUUGUGACUUGCUAAGGUGAAUACAUGAAGGGAAUAAAUCAACUGGCAGACUUAAAUUUGUAACUACUUGCUAUAGAAUAGUUGGUCUGUAUACGAUAUUGUUCUAUCUAAUCUCUUGCAUCCAUUUCAUUAUAGAGCUCAUGAAUUCUUCUUUGGUCAAUUUUGGUUUCAUUAAAUUUUUGGGACCCUAUUACGUGUUGCUGAUAACAAAGAGAAGGAAAAUUGGUGCGAUUUAUUGUGAUACAGUAUAUGCCAUCGCCAAGAGCGAGAUGAUUCCUAUUUCAAAUUCUUCUGUGCUGUUCAAUAUGACAUUCUAAGAACGAAAACAGAUCUUCUGUCCAUUCUGCAUGCAAAUGUAAUAUGUACUUUGUACUUCUAAAGAGACUUAUAAGUUGUCAAAAUUGUGCACUUUUCAUUUGCAAUUAGAUGAGCAUUUUAUCAUGGUUGUUUUAUUUUCUUUCAUUAAUUUUUGGGACAAAUAGUCUUGAGUUGGGCAUCGUCUAUUAUUGGGUAAGUUCAACACUCUGCUUUGGGCUUCAUCGGGUCCGCAUUCUGUCUUGAGCUGGUCUGCAGAGGUGCUCGCCAGGUCCAAGCCUUGACCUUUGUCUCACUUCUUCUUGGUCUCACAAACUCACUGCCCAUGCAGUUCAAAGCAUCCAAGGUCUUAUCUUUAUUUUAUUUUCUUUGAUUAAUUCAUGUUACAUCUGCUAAAUCGGUGUAUAUUCCGUAUCUGCUUUGUAUCUAAUCCCUUACCCCUCUCAAAAUUGAUUUUCUUCUAUUUCACUAUUAAAUUUAACAGAAGUUUUGAUGAUUGGAAAGUAUAAUUAUCAUUAAAAUGGGUAAGGCAAAUGUGACAUUAAUUCUAAAAAAAAUUAUGGCUUCAUAAUUAUCUCCUGCGGAUAGGCUGUAAUGAUCUUCAUAAGUUGCCUACAAUAUGUUGGCAUAAUUGCCUAGGUGGGGUUGAUGAUGCCUGCUGAGUUGUGUAGAAUUCAUUUUCUGUUUUGUUUUACUAGAUUAAUGAUAUUCUCUUUGGUUAUUGUGAUUCAACAAGCAAUCGAUGUUUCACGAUCAAGGGUGUAGUAUUAUUUGUAGUAGUGGUCUUUCAUCUCAAAAGAAUUCUCGAUUUGAAAACACAGAGACAAAGGACUGAUCUUUGAUCUUUGAAUAGGAAAAAAAGGAAAAAAGAAAGAGUGAGGAAAAGGAUAUAUGAAGGGAUCUAAGUUGUUCCAUUUAUUAAAUGAAGGGCAAUUAAUGUCCUUCUUCCUACACAAAAGGCAACUGAAAUUCCCUUCAACCGGGAACAAGAUUGUCUUCCUUAGAAGCAAAAGCAAAAAGUUUGAUUUAAGGGACUCAUUUGCUGCUCUGCGCCUUUGCCUGUGGUGUAACAAUUAAAAAGCACAAGAUCUGCUUUCUAAAGCCAUUUAAAGUCUUCAUUAAUCCACAAUUUAUUGUCUGGUAAUCAUGCUUUACUGGUUUUUAGUUUAACUGCGAAAGAAAAUCAUAUUAUUAAAAUAUAUUAUUUUUGUUAUUAUACUAUCUCACUCUUAUGUACAUAGACAGAUUUGUGUCUUUUAAUGUUCUUAACAGGGAGAAACUAACUACUGGGUGGUGUUUCCUCAAUGCUUAUUGCAUCAUAAGAACUUGACCUCUUUCAAUUUGUUGUAUCUUUGGAUUAAGGCUUAUUGUUCAACUGAUGUUUGUAGAUUUUGCGGAGUUUGCUUACAUUUCUUUAUUGUGAUUGCAGUAUAUAUAAAAUAUGAAGAAAUCAGCCUCUAAAUGUGGAAGACUUUUGCUAUAUAACUGAUAAUAUACACCAAAGAAGAGGAAGGAACAUCAGCAUGUCAAUAGGGAAAGUUCUAUUGUCAAAAUACUGGGCAUCUUCCUGUUUCUUUACCUUCCUCAAGGGUGAAUGGUAUCUGUGGUAUGACUGAUUGUAUAAUUGUGAAUCUGUUCUGAUUUUGUGAUUAAACUUCUCCAGGUUUGUUCCAGUUGAUUCUCUCACCUAUGCUCUUCUUUCUACAUUUUUCUCAUUUUGUGAUUAAACUUGGUCAUAUUGCUAAAAGCAUCCUUACAUGAAAACUAAGAAUAUAACUGCAAGGAAAAGUGAUUUGCUUCAACUUGAAUUUAGGAAAAAUGCAGCUUAAUUCUAACAUCUAUUCUUAGUAAUAUAAUAUUUAAGUUAUUGUGUUGUUCUA